CAAAUUGUUUUUUUUAUUUAUUUUUGUUUUUAUAUUAAUAAUAAUAAUAAUAACAGUAAUAAUAACUAAUAAUGCUAACAAUACAAUUUUAGAGAAAGAGACAAAAGCUGUUGCAGAGAUGCACUCAGAGAAUUCAUAGUCUGGCCCAUACCGAAGUUGCUCUCGGUGUGUAGUGGGCGCCUUGUGUGGCAGCACCCUGACAUCAGGGUGAAUGUGAGGCAUUGAUUUGUAAAGUGCUUUGACCAUCUGAUGCAGAUGGAAAACUGCUAUAUAAAUGCAGUCCAUUUACCGUUUACCCAUCUCCCCAUUACAGGUGUUUCUGAAUAUUGCAAACACAGUAGCAGCACUGAAAAAAAAACGCGCAGUUGAUCACAAUCAAAAGAAGCACUCUACAUCAUCCUAGCUCUUCUUGAGUUAUAGUUAAUGAGAAAUACAUUUUUUGGACUGCAUAAUGUCACACAAUGGCAUAUACUGACAUCACAAUGUCGUGUAAAAAUCAGCAUGUGGUUGAUUCAUUUGAAAUGGGACCAGCCUACCUUUGUUUUGAUGUUAUUAUAGAAAAUGUAAUUUAUUUUUUCAGUCAUUUAAUGUCACAUGAAUUCAUUGUGUGGCAUCAUGAUUGUGUUAUGUAUUUAUUUAUUUUAAAUCUCAGACACAAUGUGAAAUAGACAAGAAAGCUAAAGCACCAAAAACAACACAUAAUAUCGAUUAAAUAAUAAUAAAUAAAUAUGUUCUAGAAGGAGCAGAAAUCCUUAUGGAGUCUUACCCAUUCCUCUGUUUUAAAUGUUCAAAAAGACCCCCCCCCCCCCCCCC